rnacentral:rRNA from 1 species
AACGAACGCUGGCGGCAGGCUUAACACAUGCAAGUCGAACGCAUCCUUCGGGGUGAGUGGCAGACGGGUGAGUAACGCGUGGGAACGUGCCCUUCAGUUCGGGAUAACCCAGGGAAACUUGGGCUAAUACCGGAUACGUGCGAGAGCAGAAAGAUUUAUCGCUGAAGGAUCGUCCCGCGUCUGAUUAGCUAGUUGGUGGGGUAAUGGCCCACCAAGGCGACGAUCCGUGGCUGGUCUGAGAGGAUGAUCAGCCACAUUGGGACUGAGAAACGGCCCAAACUCCUCCGGGAGGCAGCAGUGGGGAAUAUUGGACAAUGGGCGCAAGCCUGAUCCAGCCAUGCCGCGUGAGUGAUGAAGGCCUUAGGGUUGUAAAGCUCUUUCGUCCGGGACGAUAAUGACGGUACCGGAAGAAGAAGCCCCGGCUAACUUCGUGCCAGCCGCCGCCGUAA